rnacentral:rRNA from 1 species
UACGUAGGGGGCAAGCGUUGUCCGGAAUCAUUGGGCGUAAAGAGCGCGUAGGCGGCCCUGUAAGUCCGCUGUGAAAGUCAAGGGCUCAACCCUUGAAUGCCGGUGGAUACUGCAGGGCUAGAGUCCGGAAGAGGCGAGUGGAAUUCCUGGUGUAGCGGUGGAAUGCGCAGAUAUCAGGAGGAACACCGAUGGCGAAGGCAGGUCUCUGGGCCAUUACUGACACUGAGAAGCGAAAGCAUGGGGAGCGAACAGG